AUUGAACGCUGGCGGCAGGCCUAACACAUGCAAGUCGCACGAGUGGCGGACGGGUGAGUAAUAUCUGGGAACCUGCCUGGUAGAGGGGGAUAACUACUGGAAACGGUAGCUAAUACCGCAUACCAUCGGAUGUGCCCAGAUGGGAUUAGCUAGUUGGUGGGGUAACGGCUCAACAAGGCAACGAUCCCUAGCUGGUCUGAGAGGAUGACCAGUCAAACUGGAACUGAGACACGGCCAAGACUCCUACGGGAGGCAGCAGUGGGGAAUAUUGCACAAGGGGCGAAAGCCUGAUGCAGCCAUGCCGCGUGUAUGAUGAAGGCCUUCGGGUUGUAAAGUACUUUUAGCAGGGAGGCGUUAUCCGCAGAAGAAGCACCGGCUAACUACGUGCCAGCAGACGCGGUAAUAC
rnacentral:rRNA from 1 species